rnacentral:rRNA from 1 species
GAUGAACGCUGGCUACAGGCUUAACACAUGCAAGUCGAGGGGAAACGACGGGGAAGCUUGCUUCCCCGGGCGUCGACCGGCGCACGGGUGAGUAACGCGUAUCCAACCUGCCUCUGACUGAGGGAUAACCCGUCGAAAGUCGGCCUAAUACCUCAUGGUAUCGUCUGCGGGCAUCCAACGACGAUUAAAGAUUUCAUCGGUCAGGGAUGGGGAUGCGUCUGAUUAGCUUGUUGGCGGGGUAACGGCCCACCAAGGCUACGAUCAGUAGGGGUUCUGAGAGGAAGGUCCCCCACAUUGGAACUGAGACACGGUCCAAACUCCUACGGGAGGCGGCAGUGAGGAAUAUUGGUCAAUGGGCGAGAGCCUGAACCAGCCAAGUAGCGUGCAGGAAGACGGCCCUAUGGGUUGUAAACUGCUUUUAUGCGGGGAUAAAGUGAGGGACGUGUCCCUCAUUGCAGGUACCGCAUGAAUAAGGACCGGCUAAUUCCGUG